UGUGAACUGCUUGUGAAUGGGUGUGGG
rnacentral:piRNA from 1 species